CUACUCGGGUUUCUAAUCCUGUUUGAUCCCCACGCUUUCGCGCCUCAGCGUCAGUUGCCGUCCAGAUGGCCGCCUUCGCCACCGGUGUUCCUCCUAAUAUCUACGAAUUUCACCUCUACAUUAGGAAUUCCGCCAUCCCCUCCGGCACUCCAGCUUCACAGUUUCAAAGGCAAUUCUUGGGUUGAGCCCAAGGAUUUCACCCCUGACUUGAGAAGCCGCCUACGCGCGCUUUACGCCCAGUGAUUCCGAACAACGCUAGCACCCUUCGUAUUACCGCGGCUGCUGGCAC
rnacentral:rRNA from 1 species